rnacentral:rRNA from 1 species
GACGUAGGAGGCGAGCGUUGUCCGGAUUCAUUGGGCGUAAAGAGCGCGCAGGCGGCUUGGUAAGUCGGAUGUGAAAUCCCGAGGCUCAACCUUGGGUCUGCAUCCGAUACUGCCCGGCUAGAGGUAGGUAGGGGAGAUCGGAAUUCCUGGUGUAGCGGUGGAAUGCGCAGAUAUCAGGAGGAACACCGGUGGCGAAGGCGGGUCUCUGGGCAGUAACUGACGCUGAGGAGCGAAAGCGUGGGGAGCGAACAGG